rnacentral:rRNA from 1 species
CCUACGGGAGGCAGCAGUAGGGAAUCUUCCACAAUGGGCGAAAGCCUGAUGGAGCAACGCCGCGUGGGUGAAGAAGGUCUUCGGAUCGUAAAACCCUGUUGUUAGAGAAGAAAGUGCGUGAGAGUAACUGUUCACGUUUCGACGGUAUCUAACCAGAAAGCCACGGCUAACUACGUCCCAGCAGCCGCGGGAAUACGUAGGUGGCACGCGUUAUCCGGAUUUAUUGGGCGUAAAGGGAACGCAGGCGGUCUUUUAAGUCUGAUGUGAAAGCCUUCGGCUUAACCGGAGUAGUGCAUUGGAGACUGGCAGACUUGAGUGCAGAAGAGGAAGGUGGAACUCCAUGUGUAGCGGUGAAAUGCGUAGAUAUAUGGAAGAACACCAGUGGCGAAAGCGGCUCUCUGGUCUGUAACUGACGCUGAGGUUCGAAAGCGUGGGUAGCAAACAGGAUUAGAUACCCCUGUAGUC